rnacentral:rRNA from 1 species
GGGCCACGGGGGGCNUACGGGAGCCAGCAGUGGGGAAUCUUGGACAAUGGGNGCAACCCUGAUCCAGCCAUGCCGCGUGAGUGAUGAAGGCCCUAGGGUCGUAAAGCUCUUUCGCCNGNGANGAUAAUGACUGUAUCAGGUAAAGAAACCCCGGCUAACUCCGUGCCAGCAGCCGCGGUAAUACGGAGGGGGUUAGCGUUGUUCGGAAUUACUGGGCGUAAAGCGCGCGUAGGCGGANUGGAAAGUUGGGGGUGAAAUCCCAGGGCUCAACCCUGGAACUGCCUCCAAAACUAUCAGUCUAGAGUUCGAGAGAGGUGAGUGGAAUUCCGAGUGUAGAGGUGAAAUUCGUAGAUAUUCGGAGGAACACCAGUGGCGAAGGCGGCUCACUGGCUCGAUACUGACGCUGAGGUGCGAAAGUGUGGGGAGCAAACAGGAUUAGAUACCCUGGUAGUCCACACCGUAAACGAUGAAUGCCAGUCGUCGGGUAGCAUGCUAUUCGGUGACACACCUAACGGAUUAAGCAUUCCGCCUGGGG